rnacentral:rRNA from 1 species
CACGUAGGGUGCGAGCGUUGUCCGGAAUUAUUGGGCGUAAAGAGCUCGUAGGCGGUGUGUCGCGUCGGCCGUGAAAACCUGGGGCUUAACUCUGGGCUUGCGGUCGAUACGGGCAUCACUGGAGUUCGGUAGGGGAGAUCGGAAUUCCUGGUGUAGCGGUGAAAUGCGCAGAUAUCAGGAGGAACACCGGUGGCGAAGGCGGAUCUCUGGGCCUUACCUGACGCUGAGGCGCGAAAGCUAGGGGAGCGAACAGG